rnacentral:rRNA from 1 species
GAUGAACGCUGACAGAAUGCUUAACACAUGCAAGUCAACUUGAACUUCGGUUUGGGUGGCGGACGGGUGAGUAACGCGUAAAGAACUUGCCUCGCAGAUAGGGACAACAUUUGGAAACGAAUGCUAAUACCUGAUAUUAUGAUUAUAUGGCAUCGUAUAAUUAUGAAAGCUAUAUGCGCUGUGAGAGAGCUUUGCGUCCCAUUAGCUAGUUGGAGAGGUAACGGCUCACCAAGGCGAUGAUGGGUAGCCGGCCUGAGAGGGUGAUCGGCCACAAGGGGACUGAGACACGGCCCUUACUCCUACGGGAGGCAGCAGUGGGGAAUAUUGGACAAUGGACCAAGAGUCUGAUCCAGCAAUUCUGUGUGCACGAUGAAGUUUUUCGGAAUGUAAAGUGCUUUCAGUUGGGAAGAAAAAAAUGACGGUACCAACAGAAGAAGUGACGGCUAAAUACGUG